rnacentral:rRNA from 1 species
GAAUUUUGGACAAUGGGGGCAACCCUGAUCCAGCCAUCCCGCGUGUGCGAUGAAGGCCUUCGGGUUGUACAGCACUUUUGGCAGGGAAGAAAAGGCUCUGGCUAAUACCUGGAGCUGCUGACGUCACCUGCAGAAUAAGAACCGACUAACUACGUGACAGCCGCCGCGGUCAUACGUAGGGUGCAAGCCUUAAUCGGAAUUACUGGGCGUAAAGAGUGCUCAGGGGGUUCGGCAAUGAGGAUGUGAAAUCCCAGGGCUUAACCUUGGAACUGCAUUCUUAACUGCCGGGCUAGAGUAUGUCAGAGGGGGGUAGAAUUCCGCGUGUAGCAGUGAAAUGCGUAGAGAUGCGGAGGAAUACCGAUGGCGAAGGCAGCCCCCUGGGAUAAUACUGACGCUCAUGCACGAAAGCGUGGGGAGCAAAC